ACGGAAGGUCCGGGCGUUAUCCGGAUUUAUUGGGUUUAAAGGGAGCGUAGGCCGCAGGUUAAGCGUGUUGUGAAAUGUAGGGGCUCAACCUCUGCACUGCAGCGCGAACUGGCUUGCUUGAGUACGCACAACGUGGGUGGAAUUCGUGGUGUAGCGGUGAAAUGCUUAGAUAUCACGAAGAACUCCGAUUGCGAAGGCAGCUCACGGGAGCGCAACUGACGCUGAAGCUCGAAAGUGCGGGUAUCGAACAG
rnacentral:rRNA from 1 species